UGCCAGCAGCCGCGGUAAUACGUAGGGGGCAAGCGUUAUCCGGAUUUACUGGGUGUAAAGGGUACGUAGGCGGUUAUUUAAGUCAGAUGUGAAAGCCCGAGGCUCAACCUCGGGACUGCAUUUGAAACUGGAUAACUAGAGUACAGGAGAGGAAAGUGGAAUUCCUAGUGUAGCGGUGAAAUGCGUAGAUAUUAGGAAGAACACCAGUGGCGAAGGCGACUUUCUGGACUGUAACUGACGCUGAGGUACGAAAGCGUGGGGAGCGAACAGGAUUAGAUA
rnacentral:rRNA from 1 species